GUGUUGUAUGGAAGGAGAGAAGGUUAGCGUUGCCUUUGACAAGGAUGGAAGAAGCUCUCAGGCCUGCAUAACAAUUUAAAAAAAAAACACACAUUAUGUGUAUACAAUUAUUCAU
rnacentral:ncRNA from 1 species